rnacentral:tRNA from 1 species
GGAUUUGUGGCUCAGUGGUAGAGCGCUCGCCUGGAAUGCAUGAGGCCCUGGGUUUGAUCCUCAGUACCA